CCUGGAGAAUCCCAUGGACACAGGAGCCUGCUGAGCUACAGUCUAUGGGGUCGCAAAACAGCUGGACAUGACUGAGCGGCUAAACAACAACAAGGAGCAUCAGGGUUCAUGUAAGCGUUCUGAGCACGUUAAGGUAGACUGGGCUAAGCUAGGAUGUUUGGUACGUUAAGUGUAUUAUGUGCAUUUUUAAUUUAUGAUACUUUCAACUUAGGAUGGAUUAAUUGGGAUAUAGCCCCAUCAGAAGUUAAAGAUCUACAUUUUACAAGUCUGUAUAUAUUAUCAGUUUACGACUAUGACCAGCUCCCAAAUUUUUCUGUAACUCCAAGUUUUGAGGUCAAGUGCAUGUCUAUGUCAACACUGGCCUUGCUUGGGCUCACACACACACAUGUGAGAAAGAACAGGUAGGUGGCAAAACAUGGGGUGUACUUGUUAGGGAAAGAAAUGCAUGCAAUUCGUUAAGAAUAAGUUACUAAACUCACUUUCUAUGCAGUUCUUUAUCUCUUUCAUAAUGCGUCUCUGGUGUCAGACUAAACCUGGAGCUUUUUUUUUUUUUUUUUUUUUUUGCUUUGCUUCUUUUUUUCUCCAGUUUGACAAAUGGAUGGACACUCAGAGGAGAAGAAUCCUGACAGUCCUGUUAGAACGCUGCUCCCUGUCACAGCAAAAGUUCUGCUGUUGAAAGCUUCAGGAGAAAAUUCCAGCAGAAGCUCUGGAUUUUACGACCAAGCUCCCAAAGCCCAUAAAAUAAUCCUGGACAUAACACACGGGCCACCUGAUGCAAAGAGCUGACUCAUCUGAAAAGACCCUGAUGUUGGGAAAGAUUGAAGGCAAGAGGAGAAGGGGACAACAGAGGAUGAGAUGGUUGGAUGGCAUCACCAACUCAAUGGACGUGAGCUGGCAUUGGAAGAAUUUAACUGAACUGGAUCAGCUCUGGAUGCUAAAAUGUUUACGGUUUAACUGGUAUAUCAAUGUCUCCCCAACUCCCUAUGAGCAGGGUGUAUGGAAGAAGCAUUAUAUUCAAAUGGUGAAAGAACUCCAUGUUACCAAGCCCAAGGUAAAUUUGGGAAAAGAAGAAUUACUAACAUCAGCUACUUAAGAAUUCUAGAACUAAGUUGGAGAAGGCCAUUGUUUCAAAAGAAAUAUACCAUGACUUCAAAAUUCCCUUGUUCUAAGAACUUAACAGCUCUUUUCAAGAUAUCCAUGUUAGUUGAAAGUAAUCUGACACUCACAAACCACAGUUCCACCAGGUUAUGACUUGGAGCUCCUCAUUCUCUCCAGAUUCCUGGAUUUCUGUGUCUCUGAUGCCUACAGUACACAAUUCUGACACUGGGAUUCUGUGGGUAAUGUGCAGUAUUUAUUACCUAUGGGUCAUCAAAUUUUACUUAACUAAUUCAAAUUUUCUGUGAUUCUCCCAGGCAAAUUGAAGUUUAUGUUUCUAUCAUUAAUAAAGAAAAGUUUGCAAAACAUUAGUAACUAGGAAAUGGCAUAAUGGGCAUAUUAAAGUUCUUUUCACUUUAGAAACUAGCAAUGUAAAGUCCUUACAUAGAAUUGUAAACAGUAAACAGUAUGAGCAUAAA